rnacentral:rRNA from 1 species
UGCGUAGGCGGAUUAAUAAGUCAGUGGUGAAAACCUGCAGCUUAACUGUAGACUUGCCAUUGAUACUGUUAGUCUUGAGUACGGUCAAGGUAGGCGGAAUGUGUAAUGUAGCGGUGAAAUGCUUAGAUAUUACACAGAACACCGAUUGCGAAGGCAGCUUACUGGGCCAUUACUGACGCUGAGGCGCGAAAGCGUGGGGAGCGAACAGGAUUAGAUACCCUGGUAGUCC